AAUUAACAACAUCUUCAGCAUCAUUCCUGCCACGCUGUCAAGACCUGAACCUAAAUCAGGUUGCUGGUCACAUGGUGGAUAUUACAGGGUUAAUAAUUUGUGAUGGUUAUGAUUAACGUCUUGUGAGAGAUCAGUUGUGUCCGAGUAAAUGAUGUUUGGGCUUUCCUGAUUUCGGGGACUUCUGCCUGGUUGUUGUUGCCAUGAACACGUCUCAGGUUAACUGCAGUUUAUUUACAGUGUGCGAUGAUCAGACCUUACACGGCGGUGACGAUCCCAGGCUCCCACACAGACACGCGUGGCUCUCCGACAGUUUCCGAAAACUAGAAGGCAAGAAUCUAGAUCAUGUCUUCAGAGUUCCAGAGGACAGCUAAAGAUCAACACUUGGAAUCAACUCCAGAUCUUCAAUCUGCUUGAUUUGUCUUAAAAUAAUGUGGAAGUGCAGAUGGCUGCCACUCCCUGAGCCUGGCUCUGCUGGAGGUUGUUUGCUGUUAAAAGGGUUUUUGAAGAACAGGACCAGGUCUGGCACCACUCACAGCUGAGUCUUCAACUUUUGGGACAUGAAAACAGCAACAAAUUGUCAAUAAAAACGAGUCUUUGCCAUCUUAUUACAGCA
ensembl:lncRNA